rnacentral:rRNA from 1 species
UCCACGCCGUAAACGAUGUCUACUAGGUUGCGGGUGGUUCUGACCACAGUCGCGACCGAAGCAAAAGUGUUAAGUAGACCGCCUGGGGAGUACGGUCGCAAGGCUAAAACUCAAAGGAAUUGACGGGGGCUCACACAAGCGGUGGAGCAUGUGGAUUAAUUCGAAGCAACGCGCAGCCACCUGGGUUUGACAUGAUGAUGGAAACAGAGUCGGUUG